rnacentral:rRNA from 1 species
AUUGAACGCUGGCGGCAGGCCUAACACAUGCAAGUCGAGCGGAGCGGCGGACGGGUGAGUAAUGUCUGGGAAUCUGCCUGGUAGUGGGGGAUAACGUCCGGAAACGGGCGCUAAUACCGCAUACUAUCAGAUGAGCCUCGGUCGGAUUAGCUAGUUGGUGGGGUAAAGGCCUACCAAGGCGACGAUCCGUAACUGGUCUGAGAGGAUGAUCAGUCACACUGGAACUGAGACACGGUCCAGACUCCUACGGGAGGCAGCAGUGGGGAAUUUUGGACAAUGGGGGAAACCCUGAUCCAGCCAUCCCGCGUGUGCGAUGAAGGCCUUCGGGUUGUAAAGCACUUUUGGCAGGAAAGCGGUACCUGCAGAAUAAGCACCGGCUAACUACGUGCCAGCAGCCGCGGUAAUUC